GAUGAACGCUGGCGGCGUGCCUAAUACAUGCAAGUCGAGCGAACAGAUGAGGAGCUUGCUCCUCUGACGUUAGCGGCGGACGGGUGAGUAACACGUGGAUAACCUACCUAUAAGACUGGGAUAACUUCGGGAAACCGGAGCUAAUACCGGAUAAUAUAUUGAACCGCAUGGUUCAAUAGUGAAAGACGGUUUUGCUGUCACUAAUAGAUGGAUCCGCGCCGCAUUAGCUAGUUGGUAAGGUAACGGCUUACCAAGGCAACGAUGCGUAGCCGACCUGAGAGGGUGAUCGGCCACACUGGAACUGAGACACGGUCCAGACUCCUACGGGAGGCAGCAGUAGGGAAUCUUCCGCAAUGGGCGAAAGCCUGACGGAGCAACGCCGCGUGAGUGAUGAAGGUCUUCGGAUCGUAAAACUCUGUUAUUAGGGAAGAACAAAUGUGUAAGUAACUAUGCACGUCUUGACGGUACCUAAUCAGAAAGCCACGGCUAACUACGUG
rnacentral:rRNA from 1 species